UGAGGGCGGGGGAGAGACGCUGACAAACCAAGAUGGCGGUGGCAGCGCUGGAGCCCGCGGCGGCUGGGAGGUAACUGUGGUAGUGGAGGCUGCUGUUGAUGAGAAGCAGCGGCACAGUUUGUAAGGACCGGAGCAGAACGAAGAGGCGGUAGCAGUAGCAUCAGCCUGAGUUUCUUAGGGCGCGGCAGCCACACGCCUCCCAGGACUUCGGCGGGCGGCGGCCGCCCCGCGUAGGGCCUAGUACCCGAGCAGUGCCUCGGCUUCAUACAGCGGCGACCGCCAUGAGCCCUUAAGGGCGGUCCGAACCCUCCAGUCCUGGAACCCACCAUGGAGCCGGGGUCCGACGACUUCCUACCGCCGCCGGAGUGCCCGGUGUUCGAGCCUAGCUGGGCCGAGUUCCGAGACCCUCUUGGCUACAUCGCGAAAAUCAGGCCCAUUGCUGAGAAGUCGGGCAUUUGCAAGAUACGCCCACCCGCGGACUGGCAGCCACCCUUUGCUGUAGAAGUGGACAACUUCAGAUUUACUCCCCGAAUCCAGAGGCUGAAUGAACUAGAGGCCCAGACAAGAGUGAAACUGAACUACUUGGACCAGAUUGCCAAAUUCUGGGAAAUCCAGGGCUCUGCCUUAAAGAUUCCCAAUGUAGAACGGCGGAUCUUGGAUCUCUACAGCCUCAGUAAAAUCGUGGUGGAGGAAGGUGGCUAUGAAGCCAUCUGCAAGGACCGUCGGUGGGCCCGGGUGGCUCAGCGCCUCAACUACCCACCAGGAAAAAACAUUGGGUCCCUGCUACGCUCCCACUAUGAACGCAUCGUUUACCCCUAUGAAAUGUACCAGUCUGGAGCCAACCUGGUGCAGUGCAACACACGUCCAUUUGAUAAUGAGGAGAAGGACAAGGAAUACAAACCCCACAGCAUCCCCCUUCGACAAUCUGUGCAGCCUUCCAAGUUCAACAGCUAUGGCCGGCGGGCCAAGAGACUGCAGCCUGAUCCGGAACCCACGGAGGAAGACAUUGAAAAGAAUCCGGAGCUAAAGAAGUUACAGAUCUAUGGGGCAGGCCCCAAGAUGAUGGGCCUGGGCCUUAUGGCCAAGGAUAAGACUCUGCGGAAGAAAGAUAAGGAAGGGCCCGAGUGUCCCCCGACUGUAGUGGUAAAGGAGGAGCCAGGUGGGGACAUGAAGGUGGAGUCAGCCUCACCUAAGACCUUCCUGGAGGGCAAGGAGGAGCUGAGUCACAGCCCAGAGCCCUGCACCAAGAUGACCAUGAGGCUGCGGAGGAACCACAGCAGUGCCCAGUUUAUUGAGUCAUAUGUAUGCCGGAUGUGUUCACGUGGAGAUGAGGACGACAAGCUCCUGCUAUGUGAUGGCUGUGAUGACAACUACCACAUUUUCUGCCUGCUGCCUCCUCUGCCUGAGAUUCCCAAGGGUGUCUGGCGGUGCCCAAAGUGUGUCAUGGCGGAGUGUAAGCGCCCCCCUGAAGCCUUUGGCUUUGAGCAGGCUACCCGGGAAUACACUCUACAGAGCUUUGGCGAGAUGGCUGACUCCUUUAAAGCUGAUUACUUCAACAUGCCCGUGCAUAUGGUGCCCACAGAACUCGUGGAGAAGGAGUUCUGGCGGCUGGUGAAUAGCAUUGAGGAAGAUGUGACUGUUGAGUAUGGGGCUGACAUCCAUUCCAAAGAAUUUGGCAGUGGUUUCCCUGUCAGCGACAGUAAGCGGCACCUAACCCCCGAGGAGGAGGAAUAUGCUACCAGUGGUUGGAACCUGAAUGUGAUGCCGGUGUUGGAGCAGUCUGUACUGUGCCACAUCAAUGCAGAUAUCUCUGGCAUGAAGGUGCCCUGGCUAUAUGUGGGCAUGGUCUUCUCAGCCUUUUGCUGGCAUAUUGAAGAUCACUGGAGUUACUCCAUUAACUACCUCCACUGGGGUGAGCCGAAGACCUGGUAUGGGGUACCCUCACUUGCAGCAGAACAUUUGGAAGAGGUGAUGAAGAAGCUGACACCUGAGCUCUUUGAUAGCCAGCCUGACCUCUUGCACCAACUUGUCACCCUCAUGAAUCCCAACACCCUAAUGUCCCAUGGUGUGCCGGUUGUCCGCACAAACCAGUGUGCAGGAGAAUUCGUUAUUACCUUCCCUCGUGCUUACCACAGUGGCUUCAACCAAGGCUACAACUUUGCAGAGGCUGUCAAUUUCUGCACGGCUGACUGGUUGCCAGCUGGGCGCCAGUGCAUUGAGCACUACCGCCGCCUCCGGAGGUACUGUGUUUUCUCCCAUGAGGAGCUCAUCUGCAAGAUGGCUGCCUGCCCAGAGAAGCUGGACCUGAACCUGGCAGCAGCUGUACACAAGGAGAUGUUCAUCAUGGUGCAGGAAGAGCGGCGUCUACGCAAGGCCCUGCUGGAGAAGGGCAUCACGGAAGCUGAGCGAGAGGCUUUUGAGCUGCUUCCAGAUGAUGAGCGCCAGUGCAUCAAGUGCAAGACCACGUGCUUCUUAUCAGCCCUGGCCUGCUACGACUGUCCAGACGGCCUCGUCUGCCUCUCCCACAUCAAUGACCUCUGCAAGUGCUCCAGUAGCCGGCAGUACCUGCGGUAUCGGUACACCUUGGAUGAGCUCCCUGCCAUGCUGCAUAAGCUGAAGGUUCGGGCAGAGUCCUUUGAUACCUGGGCCAACAAAGUGCGCGUGGCCCUGGAGGUGGAGGAUGGGCGGAAGCGCAGCCUUGAAGAGUUGAGGGCACUAGAGUCUGAAGCCCGUGAGCGGAGGUUUCCUAACAGUGAGCUGCUGCAGCAACUGAAGAACUGCCUGAGUGAGGCGGAAGCUUGUGUGUCCCGGGCUCUGGGACUGGUCAGCGGCCAGGAAGCUGGCCCCCACAGGGUGGCUGGUCUACAGAUGACUCUGGCUGAGCUCCGGGCCUUUCUGGACCAAAUGAACAACCUACCGUGUGCCAUGCACCAGAUUGGGGAUGUCAAGGGUAUUCUGGAACAGGUGGAGGCCUACCAGGCUGAGGCCCGUGAAGCCCUGGCCUCAUUGCCCUCCAGUCCAGGACUACUGCAUUCCUUGUUUGAGAGGGGGCGGCAGCUGGGGGUGGAGGUGCCUGAGGCCCAGCAGCUCCAGCGACAGGUGGAACAGGCACGAUGGUUGGAUGAAGUGAAGCGCACACUGGCCCCCUCAGCCCGAAGGGGCACCCUGGCUGUCAUGCGGGGACUGUUGGUUGCGGGUGCCAGUGUAGCCCCUAGCCCUGCUGUGGAUAAGGCCCAGGCAGAGCUGCAGGAGCUGCUGACCAUUGCUGAACGCUGGGAGGAGAAGGCCAAUCUCUGCCUGGAGGCCAGGCAGAAGCAUCCACCAGCCACGCUUGAGGCCAUAAUCCAUGAGGCAGAAAACAUCCCUGUUCACUUGCCCAACAUCCAGGCUCUCAAGGAGGCUCUUGCUAAGGCCCGGGCCUGGAUUGCUGAUGUGGAUGAGAUCCAAAAUGGUGACCACUACCCGUGUUUGGAUGACUUGGAGGGCCUGGUGGCUGUGGGCCGGGACCUACCCGUGGGGCUGGAGGAGCUGAGACAGCUAGAGCUACAGGUCCUGACAGCACACUCCUGGAGGGAAAAGGCUUCCAAAACCUUCCUCAAGAAGAAUUCUUGCUACACGCUGCUAGAGGUGCUCUGCCCGUGUGCAGACGCUGGCUCAGACAGCACCAAGCGUGGCCGGUGGAUGGAGAAGGAGCUGGGAUUAUACAAAUCUGACACGGAGCUUCUGGGACUGUCUGCACAGGACCUCAGGGACCCAGGCUCUGUGAUCGUGGCCUUCAAGGAGGGGGAGCAGAAGGAGAAGGAGGGUAUCCUGCAGCUGCGUCGCACCAACUCCGCCAAGCCCAGUCCACUGGUGUCGUCGACCACAGCUUCCUCUGCAGCCUCUAUCUGUGUGUGUGGGCAGGUGCCGGCUGGGGUGGGAGCUCUGCAGUGUGACCUGUGUCAGGACUGGUUCCAUGGGCGGUGUGUCUCGGUUCCCCGCCUCCUCAGCUCCCCAAAGCCCAGUCCCACCUCAUCCCCACUGCUGGCCUGGUGGGAGUGGGACACCAAAUUCUUGUGUCCGCUGUGCAUGCGCUCACGGCGCCCACGCCUGGAGACCAUCCUGGCACUGCUGGUAGCCCUGCAGAGACUGCCUGUGCGGCUGCCUGAGGGUGAGGCCCUACAGUGCCUCACAGAGAGGGCCAUCAGCUGGCAAGGCCGUGCCAGGCAGGCUCUGGCCUCUGAGGAUGUGACUGCUCUGUUGGGACGGCUGGCUGAGCUUCGCCAGCAGCUGCAGGCUGAACCCAGGUCCGAGGAGCCCCCUACCUACCCUUCAACCCCUGCCUCUGACCCUCUCAGAGAAGGCAGUGGCAAGGAUAUGCCUAAGGUCCAGGGGCUGGUGGAGAAUGGAGACAGCGUGACCAGUCCUGAGAAGGUAGCCCCUGGGGAGGGCUCAGGUAAGAGAGACCUGGAGCUGCUGUCCUCACUGUUGCCACAGUUGACUGGCCCUGUGUUGGAGCUGCCUGAGGCAACCCGGGCCCCUCUGCAGGAGCUCAUGUUGGAGGGGGACCUGCUUGAGGUGACCCUGGAUGAGAACCACAGCAUCUGGCAGCUGCUGCAGGCUGGGCAGCCUCCAGACCUGGAGCGGAUCCGCACACUUCUGGAGCUGGAGAAGGCAGAGCGCCAUGGGAGCCGGGCACGGGGCCGGGCGCUGGAGAGGAGGCGGCGGCGGAAGGUGGAUCGGGGUGGGGAGGGCGAUGAUCCAGCCCGAGAGGAGCUAGAGCCAAAGAGGGUACGGAGCUCAGGGCCAGAGGCUGAGGAGGCCCAGGAGGAGGAGGAGCUGGAGGAGGAGACUGGGGGUGAGGGGCCCCCGCCACCCUUGCCCACCACUGGCAGCCCCAGCACCCAGGAGAACGAGAAUGGCUUGGGGCUGGCACUAGGGGCCAGUUCAGGUCCCUCGGCCCCUUUGCCCACUCUGUCUCCACAGCUGCAUGUGCCCUGCCCACAGCAGCCACCUCAGCAACAGUUGUGACAGUGGCUAAGCCUAGCACAGACCCCCAACAGAGACCCCACCACCCCCGCCCUUGGCCUCAAGGAUCCUCUUUCUGACCAUCAAGCCUGCAUCUUGGGAGAAAUAAAACCCUUAGCAACAUUUUUUGGAAACAUGUUUCUGAAGUGCAUUUCUCUUGGAACUGGAGAACAGUGCCUCCAUCACCUGUAGUGGAGCAGCUGCAGUGCUGACGGGAGCGCUAGGGCUGAAGCCAGGUAGCUCUGGGUUCUGAAACCGAGUUCCACCAGGUUCUCCUUAACCGUGUGGGCAAGACCUCCCUGAGUGUCCCCCGACUCCACCCUCAAGCCAGUUUCCCCAUCUUCCACCAGAUGGGCCCUAGCACCUCUCACCUGAACUCCCAACUUAAUGCCCUCCAUUCUUUCCUUCUCAAGCCCCAAGAGGGAUUUUUUUUGCCUUUAUUGAGGUACAAUUUGCAUAUCAUAAAAUUCACCUGUUUUAAAUGUACAACUCAGUGAUUCAGAGGGAUGUUUCCAAACUGCAAAUCUGAUCAUAUCUACUGUUUAAAACUGUCCAUGAUGUUUCAUUGCUCUUAAGAUCAAGAUUAUAAUCUCAUUCUUUCUGGAAUGCUUUUCUGUCUGACCCAUAUGCCACAUGUAGGGACUUUUCCCUGAUUUUUCUCCACCCUAAAGGGUUCUCUAUGCCCCUGUGAAUGGGAACUAAAGCUCAGAUGUGUGGUCGUUUGCAAACCCUGAGUUAACUUUUUAAACACAGUUUUACUGCAAUAUAAUUUAUGUACUAUAUGUACUGUUCACAAUUCAGUGGCUUUUAGUAUAUUCCAGUUGUGCAAACAUCACCACAAAAGAUUUUAAGAGUGUUUCCAUCAUUCCAAAAAGAAUCUCCAACUCUAGGUAUUGCCCUCCCAGCCCUAUGCCACCACUAACCUAUGUGAAUUUGCCUAUUUUGAACAUUUUAUAUAAACGGAAUCAUACAAUA